rnacentral:rRNA from 1 species
GACGAACCGUGCGAACGUUAUUCGGAAUCACUGGGCUUAAAGGGCGCGUAGGCGGGCCGCCAAGUCAGAGGUGAAAGCCCCCAGCUCAACUGGGGAAGUGCCUUUGAUACUGGCGGUCUCGAGGGAGAUAGGGGCGUGCGGAACUUCCGGUGGAGCGGUGAAAUGCGUAGAUAUUCGGAAGAACACCAGUGGCGAAGGCGGCUCACUGGCCCGGUACUGACGCUGAGGUGCGAAAGCGUGGGGAGCAAACAGG